AGUAAAAUGCCUGAGAUUAAAGGACUAUCUUGAUAGGAUAAAUUACGUAUGCUAUACUUUUACUA
rnacentral:tRNA from 1 species